rnacentral:rRNA from 1 species
UGGCUCAGGAUGAACGCUAGCGGCAGGCUUAAUACAUGCAAGUCGUGGGGCAGCAUGAGUAGCAAUACUUGACGGCGACCGGCAAACGGGUGAGGAACACGUACACAACCUUCCUUCAAGCGGGGAAUAGCCCAGAGAAAUUUGGAUUAAUACCCCAUAAUAUAUUUGAUAAGGCAUCUUAUUAAUAUUAAAGCUUCGGCACUUGAUGAUGGGUGUGCGGCUGAUUAGAUAGUUGGCGGGGUAACGGCCCACCAAGUCUACGAUCAGUAGCUGAUGUGAGAGCAUGAUCAGCCACACGGGCACUGAGACACGGGCCCGACUCCUACGGGAGGCAGCAGUAAGGAAUAUUGGACAAUGGACGAAAGUCUGAUCCAGCCAUGCCGCGUGAAGGAUUAAGGUCCUCUGGAUUGUAAACUUCUUUUAUAUGGGACGAAAAAAGGGCAUUCUUGUUCACUUGACGGUACCAUAUGAAUAAGCACCGGCUAACUCCGUG